rnacentral:SRP_RNA from 1 species
UGUUGGUUCUCCCGCAACGCUACUCUGUUUACCAGGUCAGGUCCGGAAGGAAGCAGCCAGAGCAGACGACGUGUGUGCCGGGAUGGGUGCCCUCUCGC